rnacentral:rRNA from 1 species
CCUACGGGAGGCAGCAGUAAGGAAUAUUGGACAAUGGUCGCAAGACUGAUCCAGCCAUGCCGCGUGAAGGAUGACGGCCCUAUGGGUUGUAAACUUCUUUUGUACGGGAAAAAACCCCUCUACGUGUAGAGGGCUGAUUGUACUGUAAGAAUAAGGAUCGGCUAACUCCGUGCCAGCAGCCGCGGUAAUACGGAGGAUCCAAGCGUUAUCCUGAUUUAUUGGGUUUAAAGGGUGCGUAGGCGGAAUUGUAAGUCAGUGGUGAAAGCCUGCAGCUUAACUGCAGAACUGCCAUUGAUACUGCAAAUCUUGAGUACAUUUGAUGUGGGCGGAAUGUGUCAUGUAGCGGUGAAAUGCUUAGAUAUGACACAGAACACCGAUUGCGAAGGCAGCUCACAAAACUGUAACUGACGCUGAGGCACGAAAGCGUGGGUAUCAAACAGGAUUAGAUACCCUUGUAGUC